rnacentral:tRNA from 1 species
GCGGAUGUGGUGGAAUUGGUAGACACGCCAGCUUGAGGGGCUGGUGCUCGUAAGGGCGUGGGGGUUCAAGUCCCCCCAUCCGCACCA